rnacentral:rRNA from 1 species
ACGCUGGCGGCGUGCCUAAUACAUGCAAGUCGAACGGUCUUUCUAUGGAAGCUUGCCUCCACUGAGAAGAUAGUGGCGAACGGGUGAGUAACACGUGGGUAACCUGCCCAUAAGAGGGGGAUAACAUCCGGAAACGGGUGCUAAUACCGCAUAGUUUUCUUGAUCGCAUGAUCGGGAAAGGAAAGACGGCCUUUGUGCUGUCGCUUAUGGAUGGACCCGCGGCGUAUUAGUUAGUUGGUGAGGUAACGGCUCACCAAGACGAUGAUACGUAGCCGACCUGAGAGGGUGAUCGGCCACAUUGGGACUGAGACACGGCCCAAACUCCUACGGGAGGCAGCAGUAGGGAAUCUUCCGCAAUGGACGAAAGUCUGACGGAGCAACGCCGCGUGAGUGAAGAAAAGGUUUUCGGAUCGUAAAACUCUGUUGUCAGAGAAGAACAAGUUGGAGAGUAACUGCUCCAGCCUUGACGGUAUCUGACCAGAAAGCCACGGCUAACUACGUGCCAGCCGCAGC